UGAAAAUUACUGACUUGUGCUCAUCUGGUGUGCUGCGGAAAGUAUUGGCACCCCUCUGCCUCAUCCGUCGUUGUAAAUGGAGCACCAUAGGAGCGCCAGUGUGCAGAUAUUCCUUUUAUAAACAGAAGCAGGAAUAGUGAACUCUCAGGAGAAGAAGGAGAAGAAGAAGAAGAAGAGGGGGCACAUCAGCGCACCUUUCCCCAGGACAGUCGAGUCGAGCCAGCUGAGCGUGAUGAAACAGGUGAAGUCUCUCAGGAGACCGGGAGCGUGACGUGACAGAGAGUGAGAGCUAUAAAGCAGGGGUGGUGAAGGCUGUAACACGGAUGCUCGUCUUCAGCAGGACCGACCUCAGAGCAGCAUGCGCUAAAUUAUAAAGUGAUGAAUAGCGUGUGAGCAUGAGGACCAUGAGGACCAUGAGGACCAUGAGGACCAUGAGGAGCUGCGUGUUACACUUACUGUUCCUGCUGCUGCUCUCCUGCAAAACCAGCUUCAGCAGCUUCACUGUCCAGGACAGUUCAGGACGAGAGAUGAGGCAGUAUAAUGAAGUGGAAGACGACAGUUUCAUUGGUCUGAUGGGUAAAAGGAGUUCCGGUGAGAAAAGAAUGAAUUAUUUCACGGAAUCUGAAAGAGUCUCAGAGAGACGUGGAUUCCGUUCGAGCAGAUACUCAUGUCAGCUAAGUUCUUUAUCCCCGUCACCGUCACGGUGCUUUAUCUGUCCAUUCUGGAGCUUUAUCUGUCCAGCCUGGGGCAUCAGGCAGUCAGGGGCUUCACUUAUCCACCCUGGGGCUUCAGCCAGUCAUGUGCUUGAUUUGCCCAGUAUGAGGCAUCAUCCAGUCAGGGGCUUCAUCUGUCUAGCCCAGGGCUUUGAAGCAUUGUGCUGUAGAGCUGAAGAUCUGACUGCAGAGCUGCCACGGAGACGAGACGUCAGCGACGUGUUUGUCGGUCUGUUCGGGCGCAGAGAUGUCGACUCGGGCCUCGCUGCGUGGAGACGAGAGAGACGGGGCGGAGUCUUCUCAAACAACCGAAGACUCAGAUAUCGUCGUCCCACCUGAAGCGCCGCCUUAACGACGACGUGGAAUUCGAGAGCGACGGUUCUGAUCUCUCCGCCUGGAGUUUACGUUUUUUAUUUUUCACGUGAAGAUUUAAAUGGAGUUUAUUUUACAUCUGAUUUUUCUUCUGAAGGUUUUUUUUUUUUUUUUUUUUAAAUCUAGUGCAACAUAACUGAAAAAUAUCAGUAUUACGAGGUCAUAAGGUCAAUACAUCAUUUCAUCUCUACAGGUCUAGGUAGGAUCCCUUACAGGCUUGCGGGUUCAAAAAAGUAUUGGCACCCACCCCAUAAAUAAAUAUAAGCCAAAAAAAACAUAACUAUAGAAUAAACGCGAGACACGGUGACUUUUCCACUCAAACGCUUACAUAAUGGGAUUUUUAUAUGGAAAAAAAAAAAAUUUGUUGCAAAAUUAUUGGCACCCCAACCAAAAAAUGUACAGCAAUCAUCAGUCUUUGAAAAAACACAUAGUAGUUGUUAUAUUUAAAUUGGUCUGAGUCCACACUCACUCAUUUCCUGCUAAUAGAGAAGUAUAACAAAAAUUAACUCAGUCAUCCAUCAGCAUGAAGAAAAAAACAAACAAAGCUACAGGUUUCAAUAUAAAUUACAGAGAGUUAUUGGUCUGCACAAUAAACGCGGUAAUAGACAUAAUAAAAAGAAAACGUUAUAAAUAUAGAACAGUUUAAAAUUAGCCACGGAUUGGGUCUAUGAUCCGUCAAGUCCCAGACCCCAAAACAGGGUUGCCUCUGCAAGUAGGUUAAGACUUGACCAUAGAUGGUUCUUUCAACAAGUCGAUGAUCCAAGGAACACUUCAAUCAAAACAGAAAAGGUUGUAGAACACAAUUGUGCGAACUCAGUCUCCGGGUUCAAAUCCUGUGGAAAACCUGUGGCGGGAUUUAAAAAUGACGGUCACCAAGAACAAACCUGAGAGUAUAACUAAACUUAAAGUGGAUGCCUGGAGAGCGUUCCAAGAUCCUCUCCAAUCUUGCUCGACAGCUAUGGUCACCAACGCUUGAAUGGGUGGAGUGCCAAUAGUUUUGCACUCAGCAAACUCUA
ensembl:lncRNA